rnacentral:rRNA from 1 species
GAUGAACGCUAGCUACAGGCUUAACACAUGCAAGUCGCGGGGCAGCAUGGGGGUUGCUUGCAAUCCCUGAUGGCGACCGGCGCACGGGUGAGUAACGCGUAUCCAACCUGCCCUUCACCACGGGAUAACCCGGCGAAAGUCGGACUAAUACCGUAUGUUGUCCAUUGACGGCAUCCGAUUUGGACGAAAGGCUUGGCGGUGAGGGAUGGGGAUGCGUCCGAUUAGCUCGACGGCGGGGUAACGGCCCACCGUGGCGACGAUCGGUAGGGGUGCUGGGAGGAAGGUCCCCCACACUGGAACUGGGACAAGGUGCAGACUCCGACGGGAGGCAGCAGUAGUGAAUAUUGGUCAAUGGGCGGAAGCCUGAACCAGCCAAGUAGCGUGCAGGAUGACGGCCCUAUGGGUUGUAAACUGCUUUUAUGCGGGGAUAAAGGAGCCCACGUGUGGGCUUGUGCAGGUACCGCAUGAAUAAGGACCGGCUAAUUCCGUGCCAGCCGCCGCCGUAAGAC